rnacentral:rRNA from 2 species
UACAGAGGGGGCAAGCGUUGUUCGGAAUUACUGGGCGUAAAGGGCGCGUAGGCGGCCUGUUAAGUCAGACGUGAAAUCCCUCGGCUCAACCGGGGAACUGCGUCUGAUACUGGCGGGCUUGAAUUCGGGAGAGGGAUGUGGAAUUCCAGGUGUAGCGGUGAAAUGCGUAGAUAUCUGGAGGAACACCGGUGGCGAAGGCGGCAUCCUGGACCGACAUUGACGCUGAGGCGCGAAAGCCAGGGGAGCAAACGGG